CAGUCGCCGCGGGAAUACAGAGGAUGCAAGCGUUAUCCGGAAUUAUUGGGCGUAAAGGGCUCGCAGGCGGUUUCUUAAGUCUGAUGUGAAGGCCCCCGGCUCAACCGGGGAGGGUCAUUGGAAACUGGGAAACUUGAGUGCAGAAGAGGAGAGUGGAACUCCACGUGUAGCGGUGAAAUGCGUAGAGAUGUGGAGGAACACCAGUGGCGAAGGCGACUCUCUGGCCUGUAACUGACGCUGAGGAGCGAAAGCGUGGGGAGCGAACAGGAUUAGAUACCCCAGUAGUCCCUGUCUCUUAUAC
rnacentral:rRNA from 1 species